rnacentral:lncRNA from 9 species
AGAACAAGAACUGUGGAGAAGAAGGAAGGGUACAGAGAAACUAUCCACAUUAAUAAGUAGGCAAGAAAAAUUCCACUUAUCAAAGCAUUAGGAAGGAAAGCCUUCUGAUAUCAUGUGAACCUUUUCCCUGAAUCCAAGCCAGUGGCCAUUUCUGUGACAUCUUACAGUCUGUCACCUGCCUUCCCAGGAUCAUUUCAGGUAUCAGCCUGUUGGUGCAGCUAAGUGGAAAGAACCAGAGUGAUAAAGAACCAAGAGUAUCAUACCAUAGGUUUUUUCGUUGGUUGUGUUGGUCGAUUCAUUUUUCCACUAUGUUUCCUUGCUCUGUGGAGGCUCGAGGGACACAACUCUGCAGAGCAAGGAAAAACACUAGUGGAAAAGCUAAUCGGCUGGUUGUGUUGGUUGAUUGGCUUUUCCAUCAGUGUUUCCUUGCUCUGUGGAGGCUCGAGGGACACAACUCUGCAGAGCAAGGAAAAACACUAGUGGAAAAACCAAUCAGCUGGUUGUGUUGGUUGAUUGGUUUUUCCAUUAGUGUUUCCUUGCUCUCUGGGGGCUUGAGGGGCACAACUCUGCAGAGCAAGGAAAAACACUAGUGGAAACACCAAUCAGCUUGUUAUGUUAGUUGAUUGGUUUUUCCAUCAGAGUUUCCUUGCUCUGUGGAGGCUUGAGGGACACAACUCUGCAGAGCAAGGAAAAACACUAGUGGAAAAACCAAUCAGCUGGUUGUGUUGGUUGAUUGGUUUUUUCAUUAGUGUUUCCUUGCUCUGAGGAGGCUUUGGGAGCAAGGAAACACUAGUGGAAAAGUGAAUCAACCAACACAACCAACCAAAAAAACUAUGAUAUGAUACCCUCUUCCUCAGAGGAGACAGCAGGAAAAUGGUUGUUCAUUUCAGUAUCCUUUCCACAGGUGCUUGAGCUAGAAACACUCUCCAGAACUGCAUUUUUUCCUAUUAGAAGGUGACCUUCUGACCUCAUUUGCUAUCUUAGUGUGGAGGAAAAGAUAGCCAUAGCAUGGCCAACAUGUGGCCAAAGGGUGGCUCCUCUUUGCUGAAAUGUUCUUCCACCCUUUGCCUCUUAGCCAGAAAAAACGAAUGGUAAACCAUUCCUUUUCUAAUUGUCAUUUGGCACUUGAGAGAGCAGUUUUGAGGCUGGCAGGUUGUAGAGUCACAGAAGAGCCACCAGAGUGGCUGACAGGCCUUUUUUCAAAUAGUCUUUGGCUUUGGAUUUCUUUUCUUGCAUAAGGUUUUGCAUAGCUCUGCCCUAAACGAUUCAUGAUCUAGACCCCAUUGCUUUCCUUCAUGUCUGUGGACAUUUCUCCUCUUGCCUUGAAGGUGACACCAGGACAUCUCUGGAUUAUCUCUGUGGAUUGUUGGGCUUCGCUGGCCCGUAGGAAGGGAUAGAGUCAGGAAUACAUGUGCCUCUUGCUUCACUUUAAAUACUUCCAAGAAGUUGCUUAGAACCCAUUUGGUCUUUUUAGUUCAACAUGAGAUGGACCUUUCUCCCACAAACCUAUUUAUUCCAAAUGAUUUUUCUUAGCCACCCAGAAACUUUCAUGUCAAAUGUUUCCUGUUGUCCUAAAGGUUGUGUUUUUCAUUUAUAGAAAAAAGAUAAUGUUUCCUCUAAGACAGAAGAAGUUAUUUCAGUAUUAGCUACAGGUGCUACCUACCUCUAGGGAACAUGGCCCUGUUUCUCCUAAGCAUCAUAGUUAACUUUGGACUCUGUUCACAGAGCUCCUUCAUGACACUGGCCAUCUCAGUCACAGGUGUAAAGUAGAUUGUACCUUAUAAUGAACCACUCCCAUAUUUAGACUCCUAAGUGUCCACAUGCACCUUCUGUGGUGUAAUAUAUAAAGGCAGCAGGGAUUCCCCUCACCCUUAGGGCAUACUACUGUCAGAACUACAAGAUGUGAAUGAAGCCCUCAUGGCUUGGAGUGUCUUUAUAGAAGAAGUUGCUUCUCUACUUAACAAAAUAACAUUUCUAGCCUUUUUUCUUUCAUAUUGGCAAGUAGAAAAUUGUCCACCCAGUUUGAAGUAUAGAAGAAAAAUAGAUGCUGAAGUUCUUCAGUAACCACUCCUAGUCUCUGUGUUCCCUUAGAUACUCCUGUACCAUUUAAUGUGAAUAGCUAAUAUUGCUGUAAAGUAUUAAUAUUGUAUGAUUUGAAGACAGACUACGUGUCAUUUUAUUAUACUCUGUCAAUCUAUAAUAUAUUAGACUGAUGCUCUAUCUAAAAUGCUUUGAGUUUGUAUAAUAAUAUAUCUUGACAAAUUUUACUAGCAUAUGUUAUGUAAUAGAUGUGUAUUUUUGUACUUGCAGAAACUGCUGCUAACUUUUAAAGUUGUUUGGUUUUCAAGGCACUGAUAAUGGAUAUGUAUGAAGUCCAUGCUGUCUAUUAAAUAAAACACCAUCCUCAGAGUUUAACAGUCCCACCAGAGUAAUAUUGCCCUUUGUAAACUUGUUUCAGCUAAUGAGCCCAAUUUCUACUUAACCGCUUAAUUGGAAAUUUCAUAAAAUGUAAUUAAUAUUGAUUUGAAACUUUGAACUCUAAGUCAUAGUCAUGGUCAGUCUCUAGAAAAAAAAAAAGGUUUUUUCCUUUAUAUUUUUCUAAUCUCAUUGUUUACCAACAAGUUAUGCUUUAGACACAAAGUCUUCAUUUUUCUUUGUUAUUAUAUUUAUACUAUGCUUCUAGAAUCAGAUACAUGUUUAGUCUAUAUUCUCAUAUCAAAGAACCAUCAACUCAGUUUAACUGUAUGAGAUUUUCUUGUCUAAAUUUGAACCACUCUGACCAGAGUGUGCAGUUAACCACAGACACAUCCAGACAUCCAAGGAUGCCUGGAUCCAGAUGCUACAAGACAUCAGUACUUCUAAAGUCAUAUAAAGUUAUUAAAUAUUCUGGUUUCUCAUUUUGCCUUCUCACAGUUCAAAGAUGUUCACUUUAUGUAAGUUUAAGCACCAUUUCAAAAAGAUUCAAAAAAAUACCCUAACUUAAUCCAGAAAAAAAAGAGUGAUCUGCUUUGAGCAGUAAAGACCUAAAUAUUAAAAAAAAAAAAAAAAAAAAA